rnacentral:ncRNA from 1 species
CUACGGACUUAAUUUAAUUGAGCUUUAGUAGAGAAAUUUACUAAAUGAUUGUUUUCAAAUUCAGGGAAACCUAGGUUGCAAAAAAAAAGAUUAAAAUUAGGUAAUCCUGAGCCAAAUUUUGUUUACUAAAACAAAAGAGGUGCAGAGACUCAAAGAAAACUAUCCUAACGAAAUGUUUUAUCAUUUUUAUAAAAAAAUUGGAUUAAUAUAUUAAUUAAUAAUAAUAUUAUUAAACCCUUUUUUCAUUUAAAAAAUAGACGAGGAUAAAGAUAGAGUCCGUUUUUACAAGUUACUUUUAA